GGUGGCCACGGGUAAAGUUGAGCUCAAUGGAUUCUGGGAAUAUGGCAGCUGUUGCCUUGGCAACAGGCCUGUGAGGCCCGUCUAUAUGCUGUGAUGGGUUUUGGAGGCGCUGAAGCCAACACCCACUCCCACCCCUACCCUCCAAUCCUCCAUCCUAUUCCCACAACUGGGUAAUUUAUAAAGCAUAGAGGUUUAUCUGAGGGUCCAAGAAACCCAUCAGCAUCUGCUGGCUCCAAGUGAGGGCUUCUCUCUGUGUUCUAAAGCGGCAGGAAAACAGAAGGAGCUCAGGAGAAGCAAACUUGUCAUGCUGAGCUGAUGCAAGUUCCUGUGUGCAUCUGGUUUAAUGAAAGUAAUCAGACGAGGAGUGGCUCUAGCUGGCCAAGGCGUCCUUUUCAACAUUAUUUGCUGAUAUGAAGCGGCAGACCUAUGGUAGCUCUGAGCCUCCUCCUGUUUGCAAAACAGCCAGCCACAAACAGCUCUCCUGAGAAAUAUGUGCAGGAAUUCAGCCCAAGAUGGCAAUGGAUGGACCGUUCUUGUGAAGUGCUGUGUGGUCUCAGCUGCCUGCUCUAUGGUUUCCCCUCCAUCUCUUCCUUUCUUCCUUUGAACUUCUCUUCUGAUCUCAAGCAAAUAAAGUUGUCACUGAAGUAAAA